AGACACACUAGAUAUAAAAUCUACAAAGAAAUUUCGAUUAACAUUGAGGUUGGUAGUUUUAGCUAUUGCAGUGGUUUGUGUGAUAUACAUUUGCUUUACUCAGCAUGCACGAUGGAGGAGAGAUCGAUGCUCGAGCUUGCUACACUGCCAUUUUUGAAUGACAGGAUGCCAAAGCUAUUGGCUAACUUAGACCUUUUACACCGUUAGCCUCUAUUACUUUCGUUGUUGGAAUGGGACACUUUUAACAUUGGGAAUCUUGUUGGAGCCACGUAGCAAGUGUUCUGAAUAUUUUGGAUGAAGAGCUGAUCAAGAAUGUUGGAGACUUCAUUUUAAGGUUAGUUUCAAGAAGAACUUGCUUUAAUUUUGGAAUUAUAUCUGGUUGUAUGUUUUGAGCUUGAUCGUGCAACAUUUUGAGGAUAAUUUUAAGAAGCACUAGCAAUGUUUAGAAUAGAAACUUUGUACAAGUCAAACUCAUCACUUUUUUUUCCUACUGCUUUGAUUAUUGAGUGGUUUUCAAAGUAUGCUGGCAUUUGAGAAAACAUUUUUAAUGGUCUCUUCAUUAAGUAUGUGGGGCCUCACAUGGGACCUUUAAACUAUAAACACUGAUAACAAUUGAAAGCACAUUAGUCGUGACUUUGGUGGCAUGGCGGCUAGGAGUACUGAAUUCUCGCCAUUUAAUCUAAUGGUUUUGGCAAUAAGGCAAACUGUCAUCUUUUCAUUAACUAUUUCUGGCCUUAAAUGGGACUUUUAACUAUAAUAUUGGGUAAUAAUUGACAGUCCCAUUUGCCACAAUGUUGGUGCCUUGGGGUAUGUUGUAUUGUGGUGUUCUCCCAUUUGCCACCGAGUUUCGUGCAGUGUAAAAAGUUCUUUGGUCAAGUAGAAAAGUAGAAUAAUUGAUUACACAGCCUGUGUACUAUUUGUUGUGUAACACAUGUUUUAUUCUCCACGUUGUUUCUUUGCAUCUGUCAAACAUACGAGGGAGGCAUUGCAGGUGAGCCGGGUUUCGAGGCUCAUGGUGGGUAUACCUUUUGUGGGUUGGCUGCAAUGAUUCUGAUUGGUGAGGCUAAUCGCUUGGAUCUGCCUCGCUUACUUGACUGGGCUGUAU